GAUAACAAAUGGUAAUUAAAGAAAAAGGGGAAAUUUGACAGAGGAACUUUAUCAACUAAAUAAUAAGGAGAUGAGUGAGACUAAGAUGGAUGAAAUCUCUGAAAUGAUGCUUGCAAAUUUUGGGAACAAUGUUUAAAAAAA